AGCCGGCCGGCCUGUCGCUUGCACCGCCUAUCGGGUGCAGGAGGAAAGUCCGGGCAACACAGAGCAUCCCACUUCCUAACAGAAAGCUGUCCGCGAGGGCGGAGUAACGCAGAAGAAAACAACCGCCUCCCAGCACCGGCCGCAAGACCGGGGGAGGCAAGGGUGAGAAGGCGGGGUAAGAGCCCACCAGCCUUGUGGCGACACAAGGGCUGUGCGUCUUGGGAGUUGUAAGGUCAUGUAAACCGGCGCCAAGAGAGUUGCUCGCUCCAUGUCGGAGGGUAGACCGCUAAAGCCGUAUGGCGACAUACGGACGAGAUAAAUGGCAGGCACCCCACCCCCACGGGCGGGGCACAGAACCCGGCUUACAGGCCGACUGC
rnacentral:RNase_P_RNA from 1 species